UACGUAGGUGGCAAGCGUUGUCCGGAUUUACUGGGCGUAAAGGGCGCGUAGGCGGUCAGCACAAGUCAGUUGUGAAAUCUCCGGGCUUAACUCGGAAAGGUCAACUGAUACUGUGCGACUAGAGUGCGGAAGGGGCAACUGGAAUUCUUGGUGUAGCGGUGAAAUGCGUAGAUAUCAAGAGGAACACCUGCGGCGAAGGCGGGUUGCUGGGCCGACACUGACGCUGAGGCGCGAAAGCCAGGGGAGCGAACGGG
rnacentral:rRNA from 1 species